GCGUAAUUAGUAUGACUGUAAUCACUCAAAGAGUUUGGCAUUGUGGUUCAUCAUCGUCUAGAGUAUAUAAAGCAGACAUGAGCCUCAGCAAAGUAAUCAAAGUAUUUUUGAGAUCGAACAAACGAUGAGGUCAGCUUCAGCUGCGCUGCUGUUUGUUUCCUGCCUUUUGGCUGUGAUUUACUACAGUGCGGUGAAUUGUACAAAACCACAUGGCGCAUUCGGUGUAGAGAGAGCAACAGGCGAUCCGCAGGAAAAAAGAGAACUUUUUACAAUAGUUGUUAAUUGGAUAUCUAAACUCAUUCGAAAUUUUGUAAAAUGAACUUUUAUACAUAUUUGCUAUAAAUAAAGUUUUUUUCCCCCUUUGUCAAGGGGUUUUCUUUAUUUAUUU